AUUGAACGCUGGCGGCAUGCUUUACACAUGCAAGUCGAACGGUAACAGGUUAAGCUGACGAGUGGCGAACGGGUGAGUAAUGCAUCGGAACGUGCCCGAUCGUGGGGGAUAACGCAGCGAAAGCUGCGCUAAUACCGCAUACGAUCUGAGGAUGAAAGCGGGGGACCGUAAGGCCUCGCGCGAUCGGAGCGGCCGAUGUCAGAUUAGGUAGUUGGUGGGGUAAAGGCUCACCAAGCCAACGAUCUGUAGCUGGUCUGAGAGGACGACCAGCCACACUGGGACUGAGACACGGCCCAGACUCAUACGGGAGGCAGCAGUGGGGAAUUUUUGACAAUGGGCGAAAGCCUGAUCCAGCAAUACCGCGUGCAGGAAGAAGGCCUUCGGGUUGUAAACUGCUUUUGUACGGAGCGAAAAGGCUCUCUCUAAUACAGGGGGCUCAUGACGGUACCGUAAGAAUAAGCACCGGCUAACUACGUGCCAGCCGCCGCAGUAAUAC
rnacentral:rRNA from 1 species